UCUCUCGGCUUUAGCGCCAUUUUCUUGGAAACCUCUGCGCCAUGAGAGCCAAGGUGAGCGGUUCCUGGUAGUAAGCUUGGGAACUGGAGGAAGAAGCGAAUGCGCAGGCUGAAGCGCAAAAGAAGAAAGAUGAGGCAGAGGUCCAAGUAAACCGCUAGCUUGUUGCACCGUGGAGGCCACAGGAGCAGAAACAUGGAAUGCCAGACGCUGGGGAUGCUGGUACAAGUUGUGGGACUGCAUGCUACUCUACUGUCUAGAGCUUGUCUCAAUGGAUCUAGAACUUCAUCGCCCUCUGAUCGCCGAUCACCUCUGAGACCCACCUUGCUCAUAAACAAAAUGCC
rnacentral:sRNA from 1 species